GUUCCUAGACAUGUGAGGAUAUGGAGCCAGCCCAUGUUGCUAGACUUGAGGCAGAGCUUGAGAAAGCUGUGCAGAAAAUACAGGAAAAGGUUAAACAGUGGAACAAGUAUAGAGAUGACUAUGUUGCUUUAAAGGAGCGUUUGACAACAUUACCUGAUAAAGUUACACAUGAU